ACAGCAAAACUGGAAAAGUUGCCACAGCGUCUUUACAUCGUCUUUGUCAGAAGUGAGGUUAGUUUCUAUGUUUGUAAAUGAAUCUGGGGGCAUCGUUUGUGCAAAGUGUGAAACCUCCCCCCACUCAAGUGCUUCCAUUACCAGAGGCGCGACUACUGGAUGCUCUAUGUACCCAUCCAAAUUUAGAAGAGAUAGUCAUGAAGAUUCAAAAUGACUCUUGAAGAAUUCGCACGGUAAAGGAGCCAUAGUUGAUUAUAAAGUGUGCAAAAUGAGUAUUGGUACAGUGCGUAACUGAAGUUAUUAUGUGAUUAGAAAGGAAUGAUAAAUAGAUGUGAACCAUACUGAGACUGAAUAACGAAAAUUCCAUUCACAUUCCAUUCCCCCACAUUUUCUGCCACGUAUUUAAUGAUAACGACUUGCUAGAGUGUCAUACCGAUCCGUUUAUCCUUGAAUGUUGAUUGUGAUGACGGAGUGACCUGUAGCGUAGCCCAAUCUCUAGGUUAGGACAGAAGGUUGCGUGUUUUCAGAUUGAUAAUGUGCACGUCAAAACAUUGGAAAGCACUGAUCUUACAGAUACAAGUCGAAAUUGGGAAUAUUAGUAAUGCAAUAUUUUAAAAUACAGACAAAGCCUGAAGAGUGGUGCACUAAGCUACUAAGAGCCCUUCGAAGAAGUACAAGAAGAAGAAUCAGAAGAAGAAGAAGUAGAAGAACAUGAAAAAAAGAGGUUCACAGGAAGAAGUACAAAAUUCAGCAAGAUGGCACAUAGCUUGAAUGUUAAAGGCUACUCGCAACUCCUAGUUACGGCUCAAAUUGCAGCCAGAUUGUAUAAAGUUGUUAUUGUGACAUGUCUAACUUCUCAGUCACUGUGAUUUAUAAUAGAUACACAAUUUCUUGCCCACCGCCAAUAAAUAUUUAAUUGGUAGCUGAA